GCCUCACCGGUCGCGAGUCCAACCACGUCAAGGCGUCUGACCCCUCCUCCCCUGAGGUCUUUGUCUCCGACGGCGCCGCCUACGUCGACUACGACCCCGGCCACUCCUUCCAGGCUAUCCGCGAGCAGAUAUUCGGCUCCGAUGACUCCUCUGCGGUUCCCGCCCCCAUGAGCGGCUUUGCCCAGCAGGCCGAGAGCAUGGGUGAGGGCGUGGCCGGCACCGUCAUGCGGGGUUUCGCCCCCGAGGCUGUCCCCGUCUACUCCGCUCUCGCGGAGGAGUUCGCGGUGUGCGAUAGGUGGUUCGCCUCCGUCCCGGCCUCCACCCAGCCCAAUCGCUUCUACGUCCACUCCGCCACCUCCCACGGCGCCACCAGCAACGUGCGCAGGGACCUCAUCCACGGCUUCCCCCAGAAGACCAUAUUCGAUUCCCUCGAUGAGGAUGGUCUCAGUUUCGGCGUCUACUACCAGAACAUCCCCGCCGUGCUCUUCUUCAAGAGCCUGCGUAAGCUGAAGCAC
rnacentral:lncRNA from 1 species